AGCACCAGCUCAGACUCAGAGCGUGAGGAUGAUGGCGGAAGAAGAGCAUCCUAUUUGAGUCCGCAAUUUUUUUUCUCUCUCUUUUCCCUUUUCUUUUUACGGAAUACUACGCAGAACCGUAAAAAGCUUGAGAUAUUCGGUCGUUUUAAAUAAUAAAAUAAAAAGGCGAUGGGGAACGAAGCCAGCCUCGAAGGAGGGGAAGGAAGCUCUGUGCUCGGUGUAGCUGGAGCUCUAGGACCCGUUUCAGCAUCACCGAGCCCUGGACAUCAUAUCAAGCCCGUGAAUGGCGCUGCUGCCGGUGGUGGAGCUGUUAUGGGAAGUGGGGCGGUGAUGAACAGGCUGGCUGGAGCUCCACCAUCUCCAAAAACAGGCAGUGGCUCUAGUGGUGUCACAGGGGUGGGUGGUGGCUUGGGUAUGGGAGGCAUGGGAGGAAUCCCAGGACGAGGAGACACCUACAGACUGGCCACCCAUGAGAGCCCAAGACCAUCUCCAACCCCUCAUUCUCAGAAUCAGGCAACAUCGCAGGGCAUGGGUACAGACCAAGGUCCUGGUCAGCAUGCCUCCAGACGGAACCUUCAGGUAGACUUCAAUAGUGGGGCAAGUGUAGGCCGAACAGGUCGAUCGCCUUCAGUGUCUCCUGACCGAGGCAGUGCUCCCACCUCACCCUACUCAGUGCCACAGAUAGCACCCAUGCCCAGCAGUAAACUGUGCCCAAUCUGCAACACAACAGAGCUGACCAGUGCUGACAGAGUACCCAAUUUCAACAAGUGCACCCAGUGUCGCACCAUUGUGUGCAACCAGUGCGGCUUCAACCCCAAUCCACAUCUUACAGAGGUCCAGGAGUGGCUAUGUCUGAACUGUCAGAUGCAGAGAGCCCUAGGAAUGGAUAUGACCACACCUCGCUCUAAGAGUCAGCAGCAGAUUCAUUGUUCCUCAGAGCAACCUAAAGCAGACACUGUAAUACCUACUCAUUCCCAGCCUUCAGCUCAGCUCAAACUAUCUCAGUCUCAGAAUCAACCACAGACCCAACCUCAUUCCAAAAUCCAACCACAGGCUCAAAGCCAGACCUCACUGGGCCCUAAGAAAGAAAGUGAGUCUCCUGGUACAUACCAGAAAGGACCUCAAAAAAUAGGCCUUUCAGCUCAAACUGGACCUUCUCAAAUUGUGCAUCAAGGAGCACAAUUGGAGUCCCAUGGUCAGAGUGUGGAAUUUAGGCAGAAAGGCCCAGGUGGAGCACCUCAAACUAGCUCCCGGAUCCCUCACCCUGGUGCUGUGCCAUUACCAGGUUUGGCAAAAGCACCAUCACAGCCAGACCUUGGCCGUGGAUCUCCAGUUCACUAUGUUGGACGAUCAGAGCAAAUUCGCAGUGCUGGAAGUUCCCCAGCUCGCCGCCCAGCCUCAGUGCAUGAGACCCCUCCUCAGGAUGGUUUGACAAAGUUAUUUGGGUUUGGGGCAUCAUUACUGAACCAGGCAAGCACACUAAUCUCAGUUGAUCCACUACCUGGAGGAGGAGCCUCAGCACAAUCCUCACCUGCUCGACAACAGGGCACCCAGGGUACUAAGGUGAUUUUUAGUGAUGCUAAUUCUAAAGCUAUGGCUGGAGCUCCUGGAUCAGACAAGCGUGGAACAGCAGGAACCUUGUUUUCCCAGGGUUCAAAUACUCCCCCACAAAAACAGCCUCAACAACAACAACAGCCUAUUGCAUCACAUCAACAAAAGGCAUCCCAGUUGCCAACUAACCAUCAAAAGACAGGGCAGCAGCAGUCACCGGCACAUCAUCAAGCGGUACUGCCACAGCAGCAGUCACCGGCACAUCAUCAGAAGGUGCCACAGCAGCAGCCAAAGGCACAUCAUCAAAAAGCUCCACAGCAGCAUCAGUCACCACUGAAGCAGAAACCCAAAGUCACCUGCCCCUUGUGUAAGACUGAACUUAAUAUAGGAACCAGUGAGCCACCCAACUACAACUUCUGCACCCAAUGUCAGACGCAGGUCUGCAAUAUGUGUGGCUUCAAUCCAACACCUCACCUUAUAGAGAAAAAAGAAUGGCUCUGUCUUAACUGUCAGACCCAAAGACUAAUGUCUGGUGGGCUGGAUGACUCUUCUCUUCAUGCUCCCUAUCCAUCUCCAAAACACCAAGUGGGCUCACCCCGGCAUCAAGUUCAUCAACAACCUACUCCACAGCCAACAGCUCAAAAAGUAUUCACUAAUCAAGAGGAAGGUCCCAGCACAAUGCUGCAACAGCAGAAAACUCAGGCAACUGAAGGAGCUGCUCAUGUUGCUGCAACUAGUGUCAAACUGGCAGGAGAUACGAAACCUCUCCUACAGCCCUCUUCGGCCCUUUCUACCACAACUAAAUCUGUCAGUGAAACACAGAAGAAAGAAAAGACUCUGCCAAAAUUGAUCAGUGAGCCUGAGCAGAAUUCUGCUGCCAAUGAAGACACAAAAUCUAAGAAAGGAACAGAACCCAGCGUGACCACCACAACUAAGGAUGAGAAAAGAGACUCUCAGCGAUCCAGAUACUAUGAGGAAACAAGCAAAACAAACAGCACCCAUGACCUAUCACGGAGUCCGCAAAGUCUGAGUGACACUGGCUACUCCUCAGAUGGGAUAUCAAGCUCACACAGUGAAAUUACUGGCCUUAUUCAUGAGGAAGAAAUUAAGUUAAGUGAGAAGAGUAUGUCUGGAAACCUUACACCUCCAAGCCCUUCUGAAAUAAAUAAACUGGAGAGCUCCAUGCGACCUCUAUUAGAGUCAAAGGUUUUCUCUGAAGGAGAGAAAAGUUGGGACAAACAACGAGGUAGAGAUCGGCACCUCAGAGACUCUGAUGACAGAAAGCACAGGUCUCAAUCACUAUCAAUUAGUCCAGAGCAAUAUGACUCAGAUGAAGAUCUAGAAGAUAUCAUGGAAGAGGAAGAGGACCCAACGGACUGGGAGGCCAAACGAGAGCUCAGAACAGUAACUUCUACUGAAGAGUCCAAAAAAAAGAAAAAGGCUGAAUCUGCUGACAUAACUGAUGAAGAGUUUAUGCGAAGGCAGAUCAUGGAGAUGAGCGCAGAUGAAGAAAAUGAAGAUGAAGAGGAUGAAGAAGAAUUAGAAGAGGAGGAAGAUGAAGAAGAGGAAGAUGAUGAAGGCUAUGGUUACCAAAAGCCAAAAAAAAUACAUAAGCACAUUAGUGACUCAGGGAAAGAAAAACGCCGUUUCACUCAUCAUUCAAGCAGCUUUGAAGAGGAGAGCAAAACUAACAGUGAAAUCUACAAAGGAUCAGCUGAGGAAGACCUAAUUGGCUCACAAGGAGGUCUACGGAGAUUCAAAACCAUAGAGCUUAACAACACCAAUAGUUACAGCCGAGAUAUGGAAUUAAACAGUGAAAAUGAUUUGAAUCUGGACAGAGAGCCUGAACUUGAAAUGGAAAGCCUUACAGGUUCCCCAGAGGAACGAUCAAGAGGGGAGUAUUCCUCUACUCUUCCUCCUACAACUUCCAGCUACAACUCAGGAACAUCUCCUACUUCUAUAUCCUCCAUGGAGGAUGACAGUGAUAGCAGUCCCAGCAGGAGACAACGUCUAGAAGAGGCUAAGCAACAGAGGAAAGCCAGACACAGGUCUCAUGGCCCCUUAUUGCCAACCAUAGAAGACUCCUCAGAAGAAGAUGAAUUGAGAGAAGAAGAGGAACUUCUGAGGGAGCAAGAAAAAAUGCGAGAAGUGGAGCAGCAAAGAAUCCGAAGUACUGCCAGAAAAACUAAGCGAGAUAAAGAGGAGCUGAGGGCACAAAGACGAAGAGAGCGGUCCAAAACUCCUCCUAGCAACCUGUCUCCCAUUGAAGAUGCAUCUCCAACAGAGGAGCUAAGACAAGCUGCUGAAAUGGAAGAACUUCAUCGAUCUUCCUGCUCAGAAUACUCACCUUCUAUUGAUUCAGAGGCUGAAGGGUUUGAAAUGUCAUCUAAGCUCUACAAGUCUGGUAGUGAGUACAAUCUGCCUACAUUCAUGUUACUGUAUUCUCCUACUGAAAAGCCAGAAACUACAUCCUGUUCUACUACUACAACUACCUCCUCAACUGGAAAGCCUCUAAAAAGUGCAGAGGAAGUUUAUGAAGAAAUGAUGAAAAAAGCUGAGAUGUUACAGAAACAACAAAAGCAGCAACAGCAGUCAGCACAACUUUAUAGCACCAGUGCCUAUCAAGAAGAUGAUAGAAGAAAUGGACAACAUUAUGAAGAUGACUAUGAUUAUAUUGACCAAGAGGAUGCAAGCUACGAGAAUGAGGAGGAAAGUGAUAUCUAUGAGGAAAUACGUCAGACUUCACAAAACAUUACCAAGCAGUUGGAUGAUCAAGUGGAAAUGGAUGUGUCUUAUUCAGAUAAACAGCUGCUAGACACAGGAUCAGCUUUUGCUAAACUCCUGGAACAGAGUAGUGCCCUCCUCACCCCUGGCACUAGUCCUACACAACUCUCAGCCCCAGUAUCAUUUUCUGAAACUGGAACAGGAGGACGAAUACCUGAUGUCAGAGUAACUCAACACUUCUCUAAGGAUGGACAUAAAGAUAGAAUUAGAAGUCAUGCUAGCAAAAGUGCAAUCAUACCUUCAACUGCUGCCACUACUAUUACUGCAUAUGGCGUAUACACCAGGGAUGCUGUCCAUGUCUCACAAACCACUACUAGUCAAACAAUGACUUCACAGCAGUCCACCCUGUAUGGCCAACAUACAAGCAGCUCUGUCACAACCUCCACCAGUACAAGUGUGCCCAACAAAAUAGCUGAAAUCGCACAGGCUUAUAAUCAACGGGAGGGAAGGAGAGCCUCAGACAGAAUCCAAAUAAGGGAUAGUGAAACACAACUUGAAUCAGCAAAUGAAUUGCGUUCUCAUAAUGUCCAUGCAUACUACAUAGGUAGUCCACCACGUUCUCCAACUUCACCUUCAACUCAUAUACAAGCCAGAUCUCCUUCCAGGAAAACAGCUGAAUUUUCAACCCAGACUUUCAGUCCCCCGGGGGUACCACCUGAAUGUUCUGGCCCCACAUCUCCUAUUGUGGCACAGGCCACUCAGACACCUCAUAGAGCUAUCUCACCACGGCUUUUUAGACAACAGUCCUCUCAAGAUGACACUUUUAUGUUUAUAACAAUUGGAUCAGAGCCAACAAGUCCACCAAAGCCAGUUACAGUUAACACUGCCACCUCUCCUUUAUCUUCCCCAACAAAGUUUAGCCACCCUUUAUCAUUUGAUGCUUACUCACCACCUGUUAGCCCUCCUGACACACCACCACACCAGCAGUCACCUCUGCAUAAUUUUUACAGAACCCAUAAAGUUGAGAGAGUCAAUGUUGGUACAAGCAUGGUGACUGCUGCUAGCUCUUAUGCUCGUGGGUCACUUUCAAUGGAAAAUAUAUCCCUAUGCCGUAUUUCGACAGUACCUGGCACUUCAAGAGUUGAGCCAGGACAAAAGACACACAGUGCAAGUGUGGCAGACCUAAGAACAGCUACAAAGUUAUCUCCACUUAUUAUAACAGAUCAGGGAAUGGACUCAACAUCUUUCAUUCCAGAAUCUCGAAAAUAUGCAAAUAGUGCAGAAGGGAGCCCUGUUCGCCAUUCCACAACUGUCCAGCCUCUCAUAAUGAACUUGAAUGCUCAAGAACAGCAACAUGCCAUUGUUUCAACUGCAACAACAGUCAGUGUAACUGUUGCUGCCUCAAUGUUUAUAUCACAGCCCAAGCAUCCUGUAGUUUAUGCUGAUUCCCUUCAGAACAGAACAGACAUUGGCCAGGGUGUGGGAACAGUGGUAUGCCUUGUACAGAACAAACAACCAAUCGACCCAUCUAUACCAAAUAUUGAUGCCAAGCUUGAAGAUUUAAGUAUUCAACAACAACAGUUACUUAGGCAACAGCAGAAACUUCAACAUCAACAGCAACUUUUAGAGCAGCAACUUCAACAACACCAUCAACUUCAACAGCAAGCUUCUUCUUUUGCAAAGUUCAGUCUAUCUAGUCAAGUUCCAUUAUUAAAGAAGGAUCUAAUUGUCACCCAUACGAGCACUGCCCCUGUGGUCAGUGCAAUAUCUCCAGCUCUGGCACCUGAGUCUUAUAACAUUGGCAGUUCUAUGGAGUUGAAAAAUAGAUCACCAGUUGAACCACAAGGUAUGAUGGUCCAGAUGGACAGUGCUGCACAAGGAAAACGUCUGACACAGUUAAUUAAAUCGGAGGACAGCCAGGGUGCAAGGGAUCUAACUGGGCAAAUCAAGAAAGAGAGUCAAGUUGCUUGCUGUGAUGUAGUUUAUAAUUUGCCUUUUGGUGGAAGCUGUGUGGGUGGACCAUUCUCCCCAAAAACGAUGGGAGAUGAGAUGGCAAAUGUUAAUGAACCAUCAAGGCCUCCUUCUGCACCACCACAUCUCUAUGAAACAGAGUCGAAACAAGAUAAACAAAUAUAUCAUGAUUUCACUUUGAAAUCAUACACACUUCCUUUUCCUGGCCGGUUACAACCAUCCUUGUCUGAGACCAAUCUUGCAGAAGCAGGGCUCCAGUCUUACUCUUCUAAAUCUAAUAUGCAAGCCUCUGUAGAAUUAUCAAUGGAUUUGAACUCAGUUAAGCAAGGGUAUGAAGGAGCAUUUCUUGGAAUGGGACUUCAAUACGGCUCUUUCACAGAUCUUCAUCAAGGUGAUGUGGUAGCUCCAACUAUCCCCAUGCGCAGAUACAGUUCCCUUUCUAACAUUAGUUCAGAUUAUGGGUACUCAUCCUGUGACCUUUCUAGUUUACCGGAAUCUAGCCUUGCCCAAUAUAGUGCCACAACUGCUAAAGAGAUUAGUAGAAUGUGUGCAGCCCUCAAUUCAAUUGAUAGAUAUGGCAGCCACCCUGAUCUCUUGCAGAUAGGUCGAGGAGGUGGUCCACCAGGCAGAAUUAAUCUGCAGCAAAGUAUAAGACCCAGCUUUAUAUAUGGUCCAGAAGGAAAGCCCUUUUCCCAAGCUCUCACCAGUCUCAUUAAUGCAAGACAAGCAAGCCUUAGAGCCAUGUAUCCUUCAGCAAUUAGAUCAGCAGAUGGUAUGAUCUAUUCAACUAUCACCACACCCAUUGCCUCCACUGUGCCAAUAACAACUCAGCCAGCGUCUGUACUGCACCCCUUGUUAAGAGGUGUUUACAGACCAUACCUUACACCAAAUAUGACGCCAGUGCAUCUGGCCAGCCUCAAUAGAAUGCCUGUACCCUCUAGAAUGUCUCUGACAGGACAAACACCUUAUCGUUUUCCAACACCUACCCCAACUUCUGCUGAAAAUGACCCAGUCCCAAUUACCACAGAGCAGGAUGCACCGAUAUAUCUUGGAAAAUCUUCAGUAAGCUCUACGGGUACUGGGAAAUCUGUAGAACCAACCCUGCAUUCUGCUGUACAAAGUAGCCUAACCACAACAAAGCCAACUCACAUAGUUGCUCCAGUCAACACAAGUCAAUCUCAGGAGCAGCCAUUAAACCUUUCUCAGCCCCAUCUUCAUAUACAUGGUUCUUCCCACAGUCAGCUUCCACAACUAUGUGUGUCAUCACAGCCACCACCUCCUCCACAAUCAACUGUAGCUUCUGCUUCAACUUUAGGAGGUCUUUCACAGGAAAAAGAGAUAGAAGAAGAGCACCUCCAUCGGCAACAGGAAACAUUAUUGCAAUUAGAGAGAGAGAGAAUAGAAUUAGAAAAAUUGAGGCAGUUGCGUCUACAGGAGGAGCUUGAGAGGGAACGUGUAGAAUUGCAGCGGAAUCGGGAGAAAGAGCAUAUGAUUGUGCAACGGGAGAUUCAAGAGUUGCAAACUAUUAAACAGCAGGUUUUACAGCAGCAACAGGCUGAGAGAGAAAGUCAACUGGUUAUGCAAAGAGAGCAACUAGCUCAGCAAAAGCAGCAGCUUGACCAAAUACAGUCUCUGCAACAACAGCUUCAGCAGCAUCUUGUAGAACAAAAGAGACAAAAGACUGCAUCUGUAACUACAGGAACUAGCACCCAACGUAUUUGUGACCAAAGUGGCAAAAUUAUUCAGCCACAAGAUUUGCUCCCAGAUUUACAACAUGGCGAUAUUUAUGUGCAAUCUAGGUCACUGCCCAACUCUGCAUCGGAGAUGUGUCUUAGGCAUAAUGAAGGGCAAGCGGAUAAUAGGUCUAUGCGAAAACAAAGAUCAAUGCCCCGUCUACAGGAUGGUAUUGAGGGAGAGGUAACAAUGUUUUCCCUGCCCUCAAAAAUUGUAGACAGCAGUGUACAAACAGAUGAUGAGGAUGAAGAGGAAAGAUAUCUAAUGUCUAGAAGAAGAAGGACUAGGCGUAGUGUGGAUUGCAGUGUUCAGACAGAUGAUGAUGAGGAUAAAGCGGAAUGGGAACAACCUGUCCGAAGAAGGCGUUCUCGGUACUCCAGGCACUCUGAAUCAGGUGCUGAUACUAAAACUGAAACUUCAACUCUACCUGCCAAAGUUGCAUCAUCUAGUAUUGCUAUCCAGACUAUUCAGGAUUGCUCUUGCCAAACAGAGACAGAACAGCUAGGAAUAAUAUCCCCAGCAAUCCAUGUCACUGUUUCAGAUCCCAACAAAGUUGAAAUUGUCCAUUACAUAUCUGGUCCAGAGAGAACCCAGAAGGGGCAAAGUUUAGCUUGUCAGACUGACCCUGAGUCCCACUCUCAAGGUGUGGUGGUUCCACAAAUUAAUGUGGCCACCACCAUUAGUCCAUAUUCCAGCAGUGCACAACUUGUCGGGUCAGCAGAUCCACUAUCUUCUCGUCAACAGGCUGUUUCAAAGUUUGAGAGACGUAAACCAGAUCCUUUAGACAUUGGCUACCAGCAGCAUCAUCUGCACAAUGAGUCCUUGUCUAGUGUGAUUCGGCAACCACCCAAAUCCCCUCAGGUGUUGUAUUCUCCUGUAUCUCCUUCAUCACCACAUCGCAUCAUAGAAACAUCCUUCUCAUCAAGUGAGAGGCUGAAUAAAGCCCAUGUUACUCCACAGCAGAAGUCAUAUACAGCUGAGUCACCACAGAGGCACCAGAGUUUACCCCGACCAAUGAAGAAUGUUCAGAGAUCCCUGUCAGAUCCCAAGCCCCUCAGUCCCACAACUGAUGAACAAACAAAGGCAAGGAUAUCCCUUUACCAGCAACAGGCACUUCAAAGUCAGUUGAUGGCACUCCAGCAGAGCUCCCUCCUGAGAAAGGUUAAGCGAACUUUGCCAAGCCCCCCACCUGAGGAGACUCAGCUAUCAAUGGUCACCCAUGCCCUGCCCCAGAUGUAUGUGCCCUCUCUGCCCUCUCUGAAGAUGGGUUCUCGUCCAGGACUAGCAGCCAAGGCCAGCCUUCUGAAGGACCUGACUCAUGAACUAAAGGCUGUUGAGCAAGAAUCCACCAAACUAAGAAAACAACAGGCUGAGUUGGAGGAAGAAGAGAAAGAAAUUGAUGCCAAACUCCGAUACCUAGAGAUGGGCAUUACACAAAGGAAGGAGACUCUUGUGAAAGAAAGGGAAAGAAGAGACAUAGCAUACCUGCGUUGUAUGGGUGACACACGAGACUACAUGUCAGAUUCUGAACUAAACAACCUUCGGUUGGCAGCUGCAGCCACAUCUGAGAGUAAUGGGCUUCUGACCAGACCAAGCACAGCACCACACAGCCAAUUUGCCAGUGAGCUAAACAGUGCUGCACAGUUUCCCCCCGCAUCAUCCUUUGUGUCAUAUCAGUACCCUCAAAGCCAAUCAACAGCAUCCAAUCUACAUGCUUCUACAUUCCAAAGCACUGGAUUCAGCCAGCCUCCAUAUCCUACAGUCUCUCAGGCACAGGCUCUACCCCAGCCCACACCCCUACAGACCAUGCCUCAUCAUCCUACCCUACCUUUUCAUGCUCAAGGGACUUUCCCCUCCCAGAGCUUUCCACUUAGCCAACCACCUUAUCCAACAGAUCAUACAAUGCUACCUCAAACUGGAUUCCAGCCACCUUCUCAACCACCUGUGGGUCAAACUCCUUACCCAACCCACACCACACCAUACCCGAGCCAGGCCCCACCUUACCCGGUCAGUCAGGCAAGUACAUACCAGCCACUGGCAGAUAUAUUAACUGUCCAUCAGAGGCCACAGCAAACCUCACUGGCUGACCUUGAACACAAGAUACCCACUAAUUAUGAGGUAAUAAGCAAUCCUUCUGUUGUAGUAACAACCACUGCCCAAGAUUCAACAUAUAGCCAAUCUGGUUUGGUUCCAACUUACGGUCAUUACAGCACAGCCGUGGCAAGUACCUAUGGGCCAUACUCCACCGCAGGUUCAAGUACAUAUGGUGGAUACUCAACUACCACAAAUUCAUAUGGGCCAUAUACAACCACCUCCGCAAAUAGUUAUGGUCAGUACACUACAACCACACCCAAUACCUAUGGACACACAACAACCACAGGCAGUUCCUAUGGACAGUAUACCACCAGUGUUGCCAACACAUAUGGACAGACUGUGCAAACACUUUCUGAUCAUAUGCACUCAGUGGACAGUCCAUCUACUUAUACAGGUGAUGGCCAAUACAGUUCUUCCAGCCUGGAGCAGAAUGCCCCUCGCAAUUAUGUAAUGAUUGAUGAUAUUAAUGAGCUAACCAAAGAGGGCAUGGGCACCACUUCAGACCCACACCGCAGUGAGGGCUAUGGGCGUCAUGGGGGUGAUGGACUCCACACACGAGGGGGGAGCUCCUACAACAGACCAGAGGACGAGCGUGAUGCAGAGAUGUACGACCAUCACCAUGGCAGGGGUAAGAGCACUGGCAGCUACCAAGCGCGAGGGCGAGAUACGCAUGGCCGGGUAGUGGGCAGCAGUAGCAUGGGUGGGGGAUCCACAUAUUACUAUGAUGACUACAAGCAUGCAACAACCACAAGAGCAGCCCAGAGGCACUCCUCAAAGACCCUGGCUCCAGUUGUCAUGUCUACCAAGAGAAGCAAGCAUCGUAAGCAAGGCUUAGAGCAGAAGAUCUCCAAGUUCUCUCCAAUUGAGGAAGCUCAUGAUGUGGAGGCUGAUCUGGCCUUAUACACCAUGAGCACCUCUGCUACAAGUGGCUAUGGUACAGGUUCUCAUUCACGAAAACUCCAAGAUGAAAUCUAUGGGCUGCGACAAACCACGUAUGACCCACAUCGGGGCAACUAUGAUGAUGAACAUUUCUAUGGCUAUGGCAGGUCCCGCUCAGCUGGUUAUGGCAUGGAUAAGAUUUCUCGGGAGACAGGCUACCGAAGCAGAUCCUAUGAACGGGACUACAAAGAUCGGUCAUACACAAGCAACUAUGGCCGAAGUGGUCGUCCCGCAUUGCGCUCUCAGUACUCUGAAGAGGAGAGCCCACUAAGUCCUAUGGGGAAAUUCAUGGGCAGUAGGCAGGCCUGCUACGAUCCAUCUUACUCAUGUGGCUCAAGCCACUCUCUUCCUGAUGUUCAAGACCAUAUUCGAGACAUGCCACGGACCCAUGUCUACAAACCCGAUGAUAUGUACAUUAUAGACGAUAUGUAUUGCGCUGUGUCUGAUAGUGAAGCCUACCAUCUUGGCCAGGAGGAGACUGACUGGUUUGAGAAGCCGCGAGAUGUCCGUGGUUCCCGCCACUAUAGCAGCAGCCAUUCCUCUUCUGGGAGGCGUGGCCAUGUCAAACACACAUACCAUGAUUACGAUGAACCUCCAGAGGAAGACCUUUGGCCACAGGAUGAUUAUGGUCACUCCCGUCACACAUCUUCUCGAGAGCACCGACACCAUAGCAGUGGAAGUUCUGGUAGACACCCUUCCUCCCGCCACUCUGACGAGCCUCGUUCUACUAGAUCAUCUCGCUCUUCAAAAGACCCAUCCUCACGACAUGACUCCCGUUCUAUGUCUUCUUCUUCAGCAAAGAGAGGAGACUCUCGCUCUCAGGGCUACCACUCCUCUGAUUAUUCCCGUGACCCUUCUGGGCACCACCAUGGCUCACGAACUGGGAAACAGUCUUCCCACCUCCAAGGCACUUCCAGCAGGAAGCAACAAGACCUCCAAGGCCACGUAUCAUCUUCUAGACAAGUGAGUUCAACUGGUUCAGCACAAAGGACUGCAAGUGGAUCGUCAAACUCAAGCAGGCAGCCUGGGCCCCAGCAAAUUUCUGAGGCACAGCAGAGCCAGCGAACACAGUUACAACAACAGACACAGAUAUCAGCAACUAGGCCUGGACAGCAGACAGCUGCAGCAGGCCCUGUGCCAUCACAGCAAACACAAGUCCAGCAGCACCAAGCUAAACCUGGCCAGACAAGUCCCGCAACAAGGGCACCUGCUGCAGGAGUGCAACCAGCACCUGCUACAACCAAGCCAGAACCUGUCGCAGCUCCUGUUACUGCAAUUGGAGCAAAAGCAGCCACCCCACAACCUGCCAAAGCAGCCCAGCCCCCAAUCUUGGGGAUAGGCUCCAAGCCAGUUUCAAGACCUGGUGGAAUAGGUAGUGCUGCUGCCGCUACUCAGCCUGGUAUGGAAGGAGAAAGCGUGUUCUCAAAGAUCUUGCCUGGAGGUGCUGCAGAACAGGCUGGCAAACUUGGAGAAGCUAUUUCUGGGUUUGGAAAAAAGUUCACGUCUCUCUGGUGAGGCAGUGCAAUUUAAGUUUCAGGGUGUCUUCAAAAACGAUGGCUGAUGUUAUAAGGCUUUGCACUGGAAAAACCUAUGAAGUUUCUCUACGUUGUUUUAAUUUACAAGCGCUUGAGUAAGAAAGAAAGAGAGAAGGAGAGAGAGAGAGAGAGGGAGAGAAGUAAUCUUGUACUAUACUGCCAGCCAGAACAGGAAUCACAAGACUUCAUUAACCAUAAAUCUGGUUAAAUGAUCACAGAGGCACUACACAGCUUUCCUCUGGCAGCCUAGACAGGUGCUUAAAUGUUGGACUUGCAAAAGCAUCCCUGUUUUGGCAAGCAAAAACAGUCAGAUUCUCCAGCUGUCUCCGGAAGUCCAGAUAUUCUACUGCAACUAUUGGAACCAGUCAACUUCCAGAGGACCCUGUAAUGAGCAGCAUAAAGCAAAGAGAAAAAUUUAACAUUAAAUGGGUAUCUGAAAAUUGGUUAGCUUCAUAAUAAGUAAGACAUUCACAUGCUGAUAAUGCAAGUGUGCUUUGCAUAGAUACUGGUUCUCACAAAGACUUUACAGGAGAGAAGUUUAAACAGACCUUAAAAUAUCCAACUGGUCACAGUGCACUGGUUUGUGAUUCCAUGUUCCUGUAGCUACUUAGAUGAUAAAUUUGACUCUCCUCUCAUCUCAGGGAUGGUAGAAAUUGAAAUUAAACUAAAUGAAAGAACUUCAUAGGUUUUUCCUGUCCAGUUAAUUACUUUUAUUUUAUUCUAACUUGAUAGCCUUUCAGAACACAAAAACAAAACAAAACAAAACAAAAAAGAAAAGAAAAGAAAAGAAAAGAAAAGAAAAGAAAAGAAAAGAAAAAAGAAAAGAAAAGAAAAGAAAGUGAUGGCAAAUGUCUAUGUUAUAUGGUCGGUUUUUAACUCUACAUUCCAGAAUGGAAAAAAGUCAUUUUUGUCCUCUGAAUGCAGACUGUUUUUUUCACUAUUCUCUUAAAUGUGUUUAAGAAGUGUACAGUGGAAUUCAAAUGCAUGUAACUUUAUAUUCAAGACCUUACACUGUUCACCAAUUUGAAGAGAGUAGGCAUAAGAUAUGAGAAUCUAGAAUAAGACUAAGAGUAAAAGAUUGCAUGGUUUAAGAGAAAACAAUUAUAUUACAUACACAAGACUGAAAUAUUGUAUGAGAGUGAUUUUGAGGCUUUGACAAGUCAGGUCUUGUUUGUAAGUAAACCACUGCAAAGCCAUUAAGUAACCACUCCCAGUGUGUACUUGGGGUCAAUUACAAUUGUUUCACCAUUUCGGGGACUCUAAUACUUCUGUUUAUUUAAUUGUGGAUCUAUUUUUUUUAUAUUAUUGGCAUCUAUUAUUUAUAUUAUUGCAUCUAUUGUUUUUAUAUUAUAUUAUUUUAAAUAUUAUUUAAAAUUUUCCUUUUUUCUGGAGAGAUGUCCCCUUAAACUACUGAUUUCAAUACAUUUCAAUACAUUUUCAAUACAUUCUUUUGCGUCAUAAUUUAAGAUAAGUAUAAUAAGUGUUUUUCACUGGUUUUUAUAUAAUAAUAAUAACAAGCCAACGUACAGGCUGGGAUGUUUAUUUAUAUUUUUGGAUUUAUUUUGUCAUGUUGUUUAUAAUUUAUUUUAUAUUACAUUUAUUCACAGUUUUUAUGGUUUUCAUUAGUCUGUAACUGGAUUACAGUUAUUUUUUGUUCAUUUUCUAUCAGUUAAGAUGUAGGGAAAAAAAAAGCAAUAGUGGAUGGCAGAUACUCAAGAGCACAAUCAGAUGUUUAUACACUAGUGGUCAGAAGAGCAAUGUGUCUACUAAAUCUACUAAACUGAAAUGUUUCCAGAAGUUUUAGAUCUACCGCCCCAGCCUUAUAUAGGCAAAACCCACAAAUUCUUCAGAAUCAGAUAUACUGUAAGCAAUAGUUUGAAUAAUAACAAAUUAGCCAUAAUUAAACUUCUUUUUAGUUUUAAGCAAUUUUAGGAUAAUGAGAAUUCCUAUGAAAUACAUGAAAAUGUGCUUAGGGACUGAUCGUCAAAAAAACACGUACUAACUGAUAUGCAUUUGGGGUCUAUUCCAAAUUGCAGCAAAAACAGGGGUACAGAAUUCUAAACAGAAGCUUCUCAGGUCAGAUCUUCCAGUAGAUCCUGUACUUGUGAUGGGUCAGGCUAGUAAGUCCUUUUAGUGGUAUGACUAAAAAUGUAGCCACCUAAGCUAGAAUGAGAGCAUGCUUCAAAACAAAACAAACAAAAAAAAAGACUCAUCUUGAUGUAAAUGUACAUUAGUAUGAAUGAAUGAUUGUGGUUGCAUGUAUGUACAUGUCUGGAUUUGUGGUCACUUGAAAAAAUGAAAAAUGGAUUUAAAAAAUAGAACAAUAAGCAUAGGUGAUUUUGAGAGACAACUUUACAUUACAAAUGUUCUAUGCAAUGCUUCUUAUUGGGGAAAAGAGACAUCAUUCAAUACCAGUCAUGGCAGAAAAAUAACAGAUAGCUUCUCCAACAAAAAUAAUGAUAACAAUUUGGAGUUGACCUGUUGUAAAUAAGUACUUAUAAUGUAAAGAGUUUGUUUUCUCUUUGUGGCAUGUUUAAGUCCCCGUUCAUGUAACUUUUCAAGUGGCAGCCAUAGUGUGAGCCAUAACUAGUCAUGGGCUAUGUAAAAAACUGCAUACUUCUGUAUGAAUAGUAUGGGGGAAAUGUCAGCCCUCUAUCUUGACAUAUGACAGUACGCUGUUUUGUGUGUAUCCAGAAUUUAAAUCACAACCUUAUCUGGCAGUCCUGCACUUACUUUCAUUAGCCAUUAGCUGCCUGUUGAUGCACUUGUUAUUAAACAGAGAUUGUAAUAAAAAAUGUUUAUAUAAAUGUCAAAAGUUCUAAAGAAGAGAACUAUAUAACAACACCAUUUCCGUAAUAUUAUUAAUUUCUAAAAUGAAUAUGGGGUAAUGUUUAAUUUACAACAGGCUAUGGGAACAUUUGUGCAAUACUGAAUCUGUCAUGGUUAUAUGAAAACAGAUGUACAUAUAAUUCAGUGUAAUUCAGCCUAUUUAGUGCUAUUGUUGCCCCUUUGAUUUAUUGCCCUAUCAAAACAAAAUGAUUGAUGAAUACUGCAUUAAAUUAUUGGUCGUCAUUGCAGCGUUUUUGUUUUGCUCAGAAAUACCAAUUUAUUUGGUAAUUUAAUGGUGGAAACUGUAGGUAGGCUAGAACAUUACACUAUUCUUUAAUCAGUGUAGUUCAUAAUAAACAUUUAUUACUUCAAUUUGUUUUUCAGAAAAAAAUAUAAAUUAUUUUAGUACCAAAACAUAUUUAAAGUUUAUUAAAAUAUCUAAAUAGAAUCUACAUAUAACAUGUAAUCAUAAGAAAUAGGCAAUAAGUGUAUAAAUGUCUGAGUAAUUGCCACUGACUACUUCAUAUAUAUUGCCUGUAGGGCAACUGGGUUGAAUCUCCCACAAUUAAAACAUAUUAAGAAAUACAAAAAUAAAUAAAUAAAUAUUUAUAUAUUUCUAAACUUUUUAUUAGACAUCAUGACAAAGAUGAUGUGAAUACAUUGUGAAAAUUUAUUUUAUUUAUUUAUUUCGUGUUCUAAUCUUGUUCACCUCAGGAAAGCACACAGUAAAUGUGGUAAGGUGAAAAAAGGGGGACCUAAUAUGCAUCAUUGUAAGGGCUCAUUUCCAAUACUAAGAAAGCCAUCUUGUUUUUUGCUCUGAGCCUACAAGGCUACUAGGACUGGGAAUGUGAAACAGGGAAAACCAUAUCACACUUUCUCUAAAUAUUUUUCACAUGCAUACAAAGAUCUUUAUUUCCAUUACUGUGUUUUGUCACCCUGGACAUUUAAACCUUAUCUUGUAUGUAAUUUAUUUAAUUAAAACCCCCAGCAUUUAUUCUAGCAUUAGGUCAAACAUGAGAUUUUAAGAACUGACAAAGGGUGUAUAAACACUUAUUGCAGUGAGGGAUGAGAUGAAAAGCUGCAAACAAUCCUGUCAUUCAGAUAUCAGGGAAAAUUUAAUGUUAUUUAUUUAUUUAUUUUUUAGAAAUACUGAAGUAACAAGUGCAUACAUCUUCAGGAGCAGUCCACCAACUUUCAUCCCUUCUGAUUCACUGGCAGCCAUUUUCAUUAUAAAUACCACACCUAUAUAAAAAUCAACUCUUGCACGCACACGCAAACAUCCAUUAUGUGAAACAAGCAAAUGACGUGUAUUGAAAGACCAAAAAGUGUGGUUUUGCCUAUAAUGCCUAUUUUUUUUAAAGGUCAAAGCAUCAGCUAUUACCAACAAAACAUCAAAACAGCAUUGUAUAUGGUGGCACUGUUUGGGACUGUUUGGAGGGGGAAAAAAUUAUAUUCGGAAACAUUUACUGGUCUGUGUAAAGUUUCUAUACAUGUUGUGUUUGUAUAUUUAAAAAAAAAAAAUAAAUAAUAAAAAAAGGAGACCCUAGCUUCCAUCUAAUUUGUGGGUUUCAACAGGGGCAACUUGAAAAAUUUAAGAAAAACAUAAAAUAUUAAAUUGUAACCAUAAUAAUAGUUGAGAGUGUUUGAGGGAUCAAAAUAAAUAAAUUAUAUAUAUAUAUAUAUAUAUAUAUAUAUAUAUAUAUAUAUAUAUAUAUAUAUAUAUAUAUAUAUAUAUAUAUAGUACAUUCACUGUUGUAAGUGCAAUGAGCUAUUAUCCAUGUUUCCAUAGUAAACCUUGUGUAUGUUUCAGUGUAAAAUUGUAAACAGUUGUAGUUGGCUUGGUGCAUUAUGUCAUGCUAUGUGAUGAAUGAAAUAAUGACCCUACAAUACAUUUCAAUCAGGAAAAAAGAAUAAACAAGAAUUUGAACCACAA